UCAGCAUGAGUAAAGACAAACCGAGUGAAAACAAACCAAAAAAGAAAAUAAAAGCAGAGAUUUUUUGCAGAUUUGGUAAAUUUGUACCACCCAAUACUAGGGACAUCUUUGCUUUUUCAAUGGACCAUAUAUGCAAAGUGAAAUCUGGAUCAUGUAAAUAUAAAGGUUGCCUUAAGAAUUGCGUGGUCUGCCUUCCAAGCUCUUAAUGCUCUUCUUGUGACCUCCAAACCUACUUUAAAACAUUCAUUCAUAUCAUCUUUCUCAACUUGUUCUUCUCAAACUCAGUCCCUAACUCUCUCUCAACGAUUGCCUUUUCAACCUUCUUAUAUCUUCCAGUCUCUUUGAUUAUUUACUGUUGACCUUCUUAUAUCUACCAAUCUUUUUGAUUUUGCUACUUAAUAUCACUUUCAACUUUGGCUUUCUAAAAACCCAGCUCUCAUUCUCUCGCUUCUUUCCCAAGAGUAUAAUUGGGUUGGUGGUGAAAAAUGGUGGUGAUGGGAUUGGGAAGGCUAAUGGUGAACUUAAAAUCUAAAAUAAGGUCAUUGAAGAUCAUGAAGAAACCUUACGAUAAGAUCGAAAAGAGCGAAAGUAUGAGAGUUGAAAUAAGAAGCAGGAAGGCCAAAAAGCUUAUAGAGAAGACCCUCAAAUUUGCUGAUUCCCCAACAAACAAAAGCUAUGCUUUUUGAAUAUAUAUACAUUCAUAUUACAUAUAUAUUCAGAGAGUAUAGUGUUCCAAGUAAAAAUGUAUAUGUAUUGAGGUUAAUUUCGUCCUUCUCUAUGAUGUUAUGCAUCCAAUCCUUCAUGCCUACUUGGGUCUAUCUUCUUCUUUUUUCAUGUUUUCCUUCUCUCUCUCUCUCUGAUCUCUCAUUUCAGCACACACAAGAGCAGGAGAAACCUUGAUAAAAUUUUCAUAAUAUCAAGAACAUAUGGUGUAUAUCCGUUCAAGAUUGGACAAAUUCCUUUCAUGUUUAACAAUCCUUGUAAGGUCUAAAUACAUAGUACUUGCUGAAAUUUAAUUUGCUAGUACUACUGAUGUAUAUAUAUUAAUUCAUCUAUAUAGAAUAGCUAGCUUUAUCAGUUUGUCAGUAA